rnacentral:lncRNA from 13 species
CCGGGCUCGGUGCUCGGAAGGGCGGGUGGUGCGUCCGAGCGGCGGCGGGGCUGCUGCCCGAUGAUUUACUUCACCAGAAGCGUUGUGUUUAAAAACAGCCCCUUUCUGCCAUCCCUGCGCCCCCGGCGGGCAGGGAGAUGAAGGCCGUGAAGGUGCACCCCGAUCGGACUGGAGGGCGGCCGGGGGAAGCCGUCCUUGCCCAGCUUCCAGGGCCGGCGCUGCCCCGACGGGGCGAACAGGGCGCGGGACAUCCCCAGGCCAGCCGGCCUCACUCACGCCUACAACCAUCGCAAUGUCUACACGUGGCCGGUGCUUUGGACCCGUGUUUAUGGUACGGGAAUGUUAAAUGAGUGUUUGGUUGCACCUGCUCGGAGCCCGUUCUCAUUCUGGAAACCGCCCGCACCUGGGUGGGUGAGGCAAGGUCACUUUCUGCUUGGGCAACGCCAGGCCCGGCGAGCCGCAGGGCCGGGGGCGGGUCCUAGGAGGAUAAUGUGCUCCGAGGGGGUAACCAAGCUGAAGGAACUGGACCUGGGUGCCGUUUUAAGUUGCGGAGCCGGACGGGCCCUGGGGUCUGCUUGUGGGCACUGCUGUCUGAGUUGUGCGGAGCUGGAGACAGAAAAGGGACCGGCUUUGCCCGGCAGCCCCGCCACGGCCGGUACCUCUGGAAGCCAAAUAAGUUCGUUUGGAAGCGGCGGUUCCCGAGGAGCCAGCGGAGGCUGGGCUUCGUGCAUCGCCGGGCAGCCGGCUCCCUGCAGCCCCGCCGGCGGCUGCGCGGCUCCGAGGCAACGCCGCUGCCGAGCGGGGAGAGCUGCGCCCUGCCCGGGGUCAGGGGGGCGGCUCGCCCAGCUCUGGCAGCGGCAGUGCCGCCCCCGGCAGCGAGAGCCCUGCCCGCAUCCUUCCUGCGAGCUGGAGAUCGGCGAGUGCUGGAGAGCCCCGGCUGGAGCAGUGCGAAGGGCUGCAACAGGCUGCCUGAUCAUCCAGGGGUAGGAGGCAGUGAGCUGAAGGAUCCAUUGCAAAGCACAUCCAGAAAUGGAUGACCUUUAUUCUUUCUUACUCAUGAGAAAGAUCUGUCCAAGUCCGUGAGUGGUUUGAUUGAAUGAGAGCAGUGAAACCAGUCCAUGGUGAAAGAUUUUUAAAAAGAGAG